rnacentral:tRNA from 1 species
GGUUGUGGCUCAGUGGCAGAGCACUUGCCUAGCAUGUGUGAGGCACUGGGUUCGAUUCUCAGCACCA